AGAGUUUGAUCAUGGCUCAGAAUCAACGCUGGCGGCGUGCCUAACACAUGCAAGUCGAACGCGAAAGUCCCGCAAGGGAUCAGUAGAGUGGCAAACGGGUGAGUAACGCGUGGGCGACCUACCUCUGAGUGGGGGAUAACCUUCCGAAAGGAGGGCUAAUACCGCAUGACAUCCCGUGUUUGGAUACACGGAAAUCAAAGUCGGGGAUCGCAAGACCUGACGCUUGGAGAGGGGCCCGCGUCCGAUUAGCUAGUUGGUGGGGUAACGGCUCACCAAGGCUUCGAUCGGUAUCCGGCCUGAGAGGGCGGACGGACACACUGGAACUGAGACACGGUCCAGACUCCUACGGGAGGCAGCAGUGGGGAAUUGUUCGCAAUGGGCGCAAGCCUGACGACGCAACGCCGCGUGGAGGAUGAAGACCUUCGGGUCGUAAACUCCUUUCGACCGAGAUGAAUUCUCGCCGGCCUAACAUGCCGGCGGGGUGACAGUAUCGAGGGAAGCAGCCCCGGCUAACUCCGUGCCAGCAGCCGCGGUAAUACGGGGGGGGCAAGCGUUGUUCGGAAUUACUGGGCGUAAAGGGUCUGUAGGUGGCCAACUAAGUCAGACGUGAAAUCCCUCAGCUUAACUGGGGAACUGCGUCUGAAACUGGAUGGCUUGAGUGCAGGAGAGGAACGCGGAAUUCCAGGUGUAGCGGUGAAAUGCGUAGAUAUCUGGAGGAACACCGGUGGCGAAAGCGGCGUUCUGGACUGCUACUGACACUGAGAGACGAAAGCCAGGGGAGCAAACGGGAUUAGAUACCCCGGUAGUCCUGGCCCUAAACGAUGAAUGCUUGGUGUGGCGGGUAUCGAUCCCUGCCGUGCCGUAGUUAACGCGUUAAGCAUUCCGCCUGGGGGAGUACG
rnacentral:rRNA from 1 species